GACGAACGCUGGCGGCGUGCCUAAUACAUGCAAGUUGAGCGCUGAAGGCUGGUACUUGUACCAACUGGAUGAGCAGCGAACGGGUGAGUAACGCGUGGGGAAUCUGCCUUUGAGCGGGGGACAACAUUUGGAAACGAAUGCUAAUACCGCAUAAAAACUUUAAACACAAGUUUUAAGUUUGAAAGAUGCAAUUGCAUCACUCAAAGAUGAUCCCGCGUUGUAUUAGCUAGUUGGUGAGGUAAAGGCUCACCAAGGCGAUGAUACAUAGCCGACCUGAGAGGGCGAUCGGCCACAUUGGGACUGAGACACGGCCCAAACUCCUACGGGAGGCAGCAGUAGGGAAUCGUCGGCAAUGGACGAAAGUCUGACCGAGCAACGCCGCGUGAGUGAAGAAGGUUUUCGGAUCGUAAAACUCUGUUGGUAGAGAAGAACGUUGGUGAGAGUGGAAAGCUCAUCAAGUGACGGUAACUACCCAGAAAGGGACGGCUAACUACGUG
rnacentral:rRNA from 1 species